AAACAAUUAAGAGUUUGAUCCUGGCUCUGAGUGAAUGCUAGCGGCAUGCCUUACACAUGCAAGUCGUACGAAAUUAAUAAAAUGAUUUCGUGGCGUAUAGGUGAGUAAAGUACAAAGCGUGUAUGCUAAGUUUAGCUAAUACUAAAUAUAUUAACUUAAUUAAGUUAUUAAAGAUUUUUCGCUUAGCAGACAUGUUUGUAUAGGAUUAGGUAGUUGGUGAUGGGUUUAGCUCACCAAGCCUACGAUCCUUAGCUGGUCUUGGAGGACUAUCAGCCACAGCGGGACGGUUACAUCCCGAACUUUUUGGCAGCAGUGAGGAAUAUUGGACAAUGGGCGCAAGCUUGAUCCAGCAAUGCCGCGUGGGUGAGGAAGGCUUAGAUUGUAAAAUCCUUUCGUCGAAGAUGAUAAUGACAGUAUUCGAAAAAGAAGCCCCGGCUAACUUCGUGCCAGCAGCCGCGGUAAAACGGAGGGGGCUAGUGUUACUCAACUUGACUGGGCGUAAAGGGCGUGAAGGUGGUAUGGUACGUUUUAUUGUAAAUACUCAAACAUAAUUUGAGGAGCUUUAAAAUACGGCUAUGCUUGAGUUUAUUUGAAGAAAGUUGUACUUCUAGUGUAGAGGUGAAAUUUGCAAAAAUUAGAAGGACAGUCCACGGGCGAAAGCGACUUUCUACUAUAAACUGACACUAUAGCGCGAAAGCAUAGGUAGCAAACGGGAUUAGAGACCCCGGUAGUCUAUGCAGUGACCGAUGAAUACUAAAUGCUCUUAUCCGUAAGAGAGUAUUUAAGCUAACGCGUAAGUAUUCCGCCUGGGAACUACAACCGCAAGGUUCAAACUUAAAGGAAUUGACGGAGGGCUAUUUCAGCGGUGGAGCAUGUGGUUUAAUCCGAUAUACCGCGUAGAACCUUACCAGCUCUUGAUGAGCAAAUCUGUUUAGGUUUAGAAUCCUGAACAUUCGUUUUUUUAGCGAAGUAUUGGUUUGCACAGGUGUUGCAUGGCUGUCGUCAGCUCGUGUUUUGAGAUGUUAGGUUAACUCCUUUAACGGGCGCAACCCCCUAGCUUAAUUAUAAGUUUACUGCUUAGGAAAUCUAAGAGGAGGGCAGGGAUGAUGUCAAGUCGUUAUGACCUUUAUGGGCUGGGCUACUCACGUGCUACAACGGUACGUACAAAGAGAAGCGAAAACGUAAGUUUUAGCAAUACUCAAAAAACGUAUCUCAGUUCAGAUUGUACCCUGAAAAUUGGAUACAUGAAGUUGGAAUCGCUAGUAAUCGUGUAUCAGAAUGGCACGGUGAAUACCCCCUCAGCCCUAGUACACACCGCCCGUCACGCGCUGGAAAUUAGUUUUGGUUGACAUAAGUAGAGGAUUAUAAUUCUUUAAGUCUAAUAAAAUUUAGUAUCUUUAAAUUGUUUUAUUUUAGAUUAAAAUUACUGCUUAUAACAUUAAAGCUAAGGACUGGUGCGAAGUCGUAACAGGGUAGUCGUAGGGGAACCUGCGGCUGGACCA
rnacentral:rRNA from 1 species